rnacentral:rRNA from 1 species
AAACGUAGGGGGCGAGCGUUAUCCGGAAUUAUUGGGCGUAAAGCGCGUGCAGGCGGCUUGGUAGGUUGGACGUGAAAGCUCCUGGCUCAACUGGGAGAGGUCGUUCAAAACCGCCAGGCUUGAGGGUGGAAGAGGGGAGUGGAAUUCCCGGUGUAGUGGUGGAAUGCGUAGAUAUCGGGAGGAACACCAGUGGCGAAAGCGGCUCCCUGGUCCACAUCUGACGCUCAGACGCGAAAGCGUGGGGAGCGAACGGGAUUAGAUACCCCGGUAGUCCACGCUGUAAACGAUGGAUGCUAGGUGUGGGAGGUCUUGACCCCUCCUGUGCCGUAGCUAACGCGUUAAGCAUCCCGCCUGAGGACUACGGCCGCAAGGUUAAA